rnacentral:rRNA from 1 species
AGAGUUUGAUCCUGGCUCAGGACGAACGCUGGCGGCGCGCUUAACACAUGCAAGUCGAGCGAGAACCAGGGCUUCGGCUCUGGGGAAAGCGGCGAACGGGUGAGUAACACGUGAGUAAUCCACCCUCGGUACCGGGAUAGCCCGGGGAAACCCGGAUUAAUACCGGAUGGCCCGACAGCCUCUAGAGGCGGUCGGAAAAGAUAGCUUCGGCCUUCGACCGAGGACGAGCUCGCGGCGGAUUAGCUUGUUAGCGGGGUAACGGCCCACCAAGGCGACGAUCCGUAGCUGGUCUGAGAGGACGAUCAGCCACACUGGGACUGAGACACGGCCCAGACUCCUACGGGAGGCAGCAGUGGGGAAUCUUGCGCAAUGGGCGAAAGCCUGACGCAGCGACGCCGCGUGCGGGAAGAAGGCCUUCGGGUUGUAAACCGCUUUCAGGAGGGACGAAGCCACUCGGGUUAAUAGCCCAGAGGGUGACGGUACCUCCAGAAGAAGCCCCGGCUAACUACGUGCCAGCAGCCGCGGUA